rnacentral:rRNA from 1 species
UACAGAGGUCUCAAGCGUUGUUCGGAUUCAUUGGGCGUAAAGGGUGUGUAGGUGGCGCGCUAAGUCGGGUGUGAAAUUUCGGAGCUUAACUCCGAAACUGCAUUCGAUACUGGCGUGCUUGAGGACUGGAGAGGAGACUGGAAUUCAUGGUGUAGCAGUGAAAUGCGUAGAUAUCGAGAGGAACACCAGUGGCGAAGGCGAGUCCCUGGACAGAUCCUGACGCUGAGGCACGAAAGCUAGGGGAGCAAACAGG